UACGUAGGGUGCGAGCGUUAAUCGGAAUUACUGGGCGUAAAGCGUGCGCAGGCGGUUUUGUAAGCCAGAUGUGAAAUCCCCGGGCUUAACCUGGGAAUGGCAUUUGGGACUGCAAGGCUUGAGUUUGGCAGAGGAGACUGGAAUUCCUGGUGUAGCGGUGAAAUGCGCAGAUAUCAGGAAGAACACCCGUGGCGAAGGCGGCUCUCUGGGACGUGACUGACGCUGAGACGCGAAAGCGUGGGGAGCGAACAGG
rnacentral:rRNA from 1 species